GUGGGGAAUAUUCCGCAAUGGACGAAAGUCUGGCGGAGCAACGCCGCGUGAGUGAUGAAGGUUUUCGGACUGUAAAGCUCUGUUGUUUAGGACGAAAGUGCCUGUUGCAAAUAGUUACAGGUAUUGACGGUACUGAACGAGGAAGCCACGGCUAACUACGUGCCAGCAGCCGCGGUAAUACGUAGGUGGCAAGCGUUGUCCGGAAUUAUUGGGCGUAAAGAGCAUGUAGGCGGGAAUCUAAGUCUGUUGUGAAAAUGCGGGGCUCAACCCCGUAUUGCGAUGGAAACUGGGUUUCUUGAGUGCAGGAGAGGAGAGGGGAAUUCCCAGUGUAGCGGUGAAAUGCGUAGAUAUUGGGAGGAACACCAGUGGCGAAGGCGCCUUUCUGGACUGUGUCUGACGCUGAGAUGCGAAAGCCAGGGUAGCGAACGGGAUUAGAAACCCUUGUAGUCC
rnacentral:rRNA from 1 species